rnacentral:rRNA from 1 species
AGAAUCAACGCUGGCGGCGUGCCUCAGACAUGCAAGUCGAACGCGAAAGUCUCCUUCGGGGGACAAGUAGAGUGGCGCACGGGUGAGUAACACGUAGGUAAUCUACCUUCGGGUGGGGAAUAACAACCGGAAACGGUUGCUAAUACCGCAUAAUGCAGCGGCACCUAAUGGUGACAGUUGUUAAAGCGGGGGAUCGCAAGAUCUCGCGCCUGAAGAGGAGCCUGCGGCGGAUUAGCUAGUUGGUAGGGUAAUGGCCUACCAAGGCGACGAUCCGUAG